rnacentral:rRNA from 1 species
UGGGGAAUAUUGGACAAUGGGGGAAACCCUGAUCCAGCAAUGCCGCGUGAGUGAAGAAGGCCUUAGGGUUGUAAAGCUCUUUCGCCCGCGAAGAUAAUGACGGUAGCGGGAGAAGAAGCCCCGGCUAACUCCGUGCCAGCAGCCGCGGUAAUACGGAGGGGGCUAGCGUUGUUCGGAAUUACUGGGCGUAAAGCGUACGUAGGCGGAUGCGCAAGUUGGGGGUGAAAUCCCGGGGCUUAACCUCGGAAUUGCCCUCAAAACUGCACGUCUUUAGACCGAGAGAGGUAAGGGGAAUUCCUAGUGUAGAGGUGAAAUUCGUAGAUAUUAGGAAGAACACCAGUGGCGAAGGCGCCUUACUGACUCGGUACUGACGCUGAGGUACGAAAGCGUGGGGAGCAAACA